AUACGGAGGGUGCAAGCGUUACUGGGAAUCACUGGGCGUAAAGCGCGCGCAGGCGGGCUGAUAAGUUGGAUGUGAAAGCCUACGGCUCAACCGUAGAACUGCAUCCAAAACUGUCAGUCUAGAGUGUGGGAGAGGAAGAUGGAAUUAGUUGUGUAGGGGUAAAAUCCGUAGAGAUAACUAGGAAUACCAAAAGCGAAGGCAAUCUUCUGGAACACUACUGACGCUGAGGCGCGAAGGCGUGGGGAGCAAACAGGAUUAGAAACCCCGGUAGUCC
rnacentral:rRNA from 1 species